rnacentral:rRNA from 1 species
AGCAGCCGCGGUAAUUCCAGCUCCAAUAGCGUAUAUUAAAGUUGCUGCAGUUAAAAAGCUCGUAGUUGAAUUUCGGGACCAAUAUGUCGGUCGUGCUUCGGUACGUACUGGCAUCGUUGGUUUCUCCUUUCUGAAGAACCAUGAUGUCAUUUAUUUGGUGUCGUGGGGAAUCAGGACUGUUACUUUGAAAAAAUUAGAGUGUUUAAAGCAGGCUCACGCUUGAAUACAUUAGCAUGGAAUAAUGAAAUAGGACGUUUGAUUCUAUCUUGUUGGUUUCUAGGAUCGACGUAAUGAUUAAUAGGGAUAGUUGGGGGCAUUAGUAUUCAAUUGUCAGAGGUGAAAUUCUUGGAUUUAUUGAAGACUAACUACUGCGAAAGCAUUUGCCAAGGAUGUUUUCAUUAAUCAAGAACGAAAGUUAGGGGAUCGAAGACGAUCAGAUACCGUCGUAGUCUUAACCAUAAACUAUGCCGACUAGGGAUCGGAUGAUGUUAAUUUUUUAAUGACUCGUUCGGCGCCUUACG